UACAGAGGGGGCAAGCGUUGUUCGGAAUUACUGGGCGGUAAAGGGCGCGUAGGCGGCCUGCUAAGUCCGAACGUGAAAUCCCUGGGCUCAACCCAGGAACUGCGUCCGAUACUGGUUGGCUUGAAUCCGGGAGAGGGAUGCGGAAUUCCAGGUGUAGCGUGAAAUGCGUAGAUAUCUGGAGGAACACCGGUGGCGAAGGUCGGAUCUCUGGGCCUUACCUGACGCUCAGGUGCGAAAGCUAGGGGAGCGAACGGGG
rnacentral:rRNA from 1 species